UCAUCUGUGGUAAUCACAGCCUAGUCCUUAU
rnacentral:piRNA from 1 species